rnacentral:rRNA from 1 species
GAACCGCCAAACGUUAUUCGGAAUCACUGGGCUUAAAGGGUACGUAGGCGGCCUGGUUAAGUUCGGGGUGUGAAAUCCCUCGGCUCAACCGAGGAACUGCACUCAAAACUGCCAGGCUUGAGGGAGAUAGAGGUAAGCGGAACUCAGGGUGGAGCGGUGGAAUGCGUUGAUAUCCUGGGGAACACCAGUUGCGAAGGCGGCUUACUGGGUCUCUUCUGACGCUGAGGUACGAAAGCUAGGGGAGCGAACGGGAUUAGAUACCCCGGUAGUCCUAGCUGUAAACGUUGAGCACUGGAUCGGAGGAUUUCGGUUUUCCGGUCGUAGCGAAAGUGUUAAGUGCUCCGCCUGGGGAGUAUGGUCGCAAGGCUG